rnacentral:snRNA from 1 species
AUCGCUUCUCGGCUCCUCAGAGCUCAGAUCAAGUGUAGUACCUGUUCUUAUCAGUUUAAUAUCUGAUAUGUCCUUUAUAUAAGGACUGUAUAUUAAAUUGAUUUUUGAAA